CAGUAGCCGCGGUAAUACGGAGGGUGCAAGCGUUAAUCGGAAUUACUGGGCGUAAAGCGUGCGUAGGUGGUGGUUUAAGUCCGUUGUGAAAGCCCUGGGCUCAACCUGGGAAUUGCAGUGGAUGCUGGGUCACUAGAGUGUGGUAGAGGAUAGUGGAAUUUCCGGUGUAGCAGUGAAAUGCGUAGAGAUCGGGAGGAACAUCAGUGGCGAAGGCGGCCAUCUGGGACAACACUGACGCUGAGGCACGAAAGCCAGGGGAGCAAACAGGAUUAGAUACCCCCGUAGUCCCUGUCUCUUAUAC
rnacentral:rRNA from 1 species